UACGUUGGGUGCAAGCGUUGUCCGGAAUUAUUGGGCGUAAAGAGCUCGUAGGCGGUCUGUCGCGUCGGCUGUGAAAACCCAGGGCUCAACCCUGGGCCUGCAGUCGAUACGGGCAGACUAGAGUCCGGCAGGGGAGACUGGAAUUCCUGGUGUAGCGGUGAAAUGCGCAGAUAUCAGGAGGAACACCGGUGGCGAAGGCGGGUCUCUGGGCCGGAACUGACGCUGAGGAGCGAAAGCGUGGGGAGCGAACAGG
rnacentral:rRNA from 1 species